rnacentral:rRNA from 1 species
AUUGAACGCUGGCGGCAGGCUUAACACAUGCAAGUCGAGCGGGGUGAUGGUGCUUGCACUAUCACUUAGCGGCGGACGGGUGAGUAAUGCUUAGGAAUCUGCCUAUUAGUGGGGGACAACAUCUCGAAAGGGAUGCUAAUACCGCAUACGUCCUACGAGAGAAAGCAGGGGAUCACUUGUGACCUUGCGCUAAUAGAUGAGCCUAAGUCGGAUUAGCUAGUUGGUGGGGUAAAGGCCUACCAAGGCGACGAUCUGUAGCGGGUCUGAGAGGAUGAUCCGCCACACUGGGACUGAGACACGGCCCAGACUCCUACGGGAGGCAGCAGUGGGGAAUAUUGGACAAUGGGGGGGACCCUGAUCCAGCCAUGCCGCGUGUGUGAAGAAGGCCUUAUGGUUGUAAAGCACUUUAAGCGAGGAGGAGGCUCUUUUGGUUAAUACCCAAGAUGAGUGGACGUUACUCGCAGAAUAAGCACCGGCUAACUCUGUGCCAGCCGCCGCAGUA